GAAUAAUCCACCCACGCAACGGAAGUUUCCUAUCCCUUUCAUUUACUCUAUUAUCUAUGUUUAAAACCCUCAAUAUGGCGGCAUUGAAGAAGACAGAUCAUGAUGGACUCUUCAUAUACAGGGAAGAGAGAAAAUUGAUGAUGAUAAUGAUGGAGUUACUAAUGACAGAAAAAAACAGAUGAGGAGCUUGUAGCUUUAAAAGACUCUCAUGUAUUUAAUGCUUACGUUUACAAGUAUUUCAUCUCCUGCUACUCGCAAUGCUUCUUCUUCUUCUUCAGCUGCUGCUCCUGUUAUUAAUACUCCAAGGAACCUGUCAGUUACUGCUUCUCCUAAUGAAACACUCUCAAGGUCUAGGAAGAAGCGUAAGAAGAUUACCAAUUCAACUGGACCUCAUAAACAACCAGCAAGACAGAGUAAGUCAGUAUAACUAAGGUUGAUUUAGUAUUGUAAGUGUAGAAAUUUUGAGCAGUAGUAGUUUUUGUCUUAGAUAGAGCUGAUAAUUUUGGAGGGAGGGAUUUAUUGAAUUUUGUGUUUUUUAUGG